rnacentral:rRNA from 1 species
GGAAAUCGUGGCUAAUACCGGAUAUGACGCCCUGCCGCAUGGUGGGGUGUGGAAAGACUGUGUCGGUUGGGGAUGGGCUCGCGGCCUAUCAGCUUGUUGGUGGGGUGAUGGCCUACCAAGGCGACGACGGGUAGCCGGCCUGAGAGGGUGACCGGCCACACUGGGACUGAGACACGGCCCAGACUCCUACGGGAGGCAGCAGUGGGGAAUAUUGCACAAUGGGCGCAAGCCUGAUGCAGCGACGCCGCGUGAGGGAUGACGGCCUUCGGGUUGUAAACCUCUUUCAGCAGGGGAGAAGGCCUUCGGGUUGACUGUACCUGCAGAAGAAGCGCCGGCUAACUACGUGCCAGCAGCCGCGGUAAUUCGUAGGGCGCAAGCGUUGUCCGGAA